rnacentral:lncRNA from 1 species
CAUGGGCCUGGGACCCAAGCCCAGGGAAAGGGGUGCUGAUAUUCUGCAGGGAUUGGGAAAACUGCUGCCACUGCCAUAGAAGUGCUGCUGGCGAUGGGCACAGGGAGAGGACGGGUGGCCAAGGGGUCUCUGGGAGCAAACUGGAAGGGAGCAUGUCCCUUCUUCCUCUGCCCCGCCCCCACUUCAGCUCACCACUAAGGAGCCCCUCUCUCUCUCCUUCUCCAUCCCUCCCCUCUCUCUCUUUCGCCUUCCCUCCCCUUCUCUCUCUGUCUCUCUGAUUCCCUCCAUCUGUUUCUCCCUCUCUGCCUUUUUGUCUCUGUCUCUCUCUGUCCCCAUCUCACUCUCUCAUCUCUUGAGCACGUGCACAGAUUCUAAUACGGGGCCAGCAGGCAAAGCAGAACCACGUGGCUCACAGCAUCCCAGCCCCAGCAUCCAAAGGCAAGUGGAGAAAGGCAGAGUUGGAGCUGAGAGGCGAUAGCUUAAUAACUGAUACACAAGGUAGGAAAGGCCCUGGACUGGAAAUCAGCAUUCCUGAACCUCAUCCUGCCUCUUCCGCUAACUUGCUGUGUGGCUUGACGUGUGUCAUUUUACUUCUUUAAGCCUCAGUUUCUUCUGCUGGGGAAUGGGACUGAGAGAGGUGCUCUGAACUCCUGCUUCUCAAAUCAGAAGCAUUGGAAUCACUUGGGAGCUUAUUAGAAAUGCAGACAUUCUAAUCCUACCCCGGAUGUCCUGAAUCAGAAUCUGCAUCUUUGCAAGAUUCCCAGUGCCAGGUCAAGUUUGAGAAGCCAUGACUGGGUGACCUUCCUAGCCAGGCUGGUCAGCAUAGCAAGGCCAGGGGUAGAAAUGAGGCUCCUGGUCAGAUGGGUCCAACUUGCCUUGGGAGCUGGCAAGUUGCUAAGCUUCUCUCAACUUCAAUUUCCUCAUUUGAAAAAAGAGAGAGAGAGAGAGAUCCAUGAAAUUCCUAGGUUCCAUGAAACUCACAGGAUCACAGGAAGGAUGCAAAGGCUCCCAACACCAGCAAGGCCUCAAGAUGACUUUGUAGAAUCUGUUGUAGAAUCAGUGCCAGUGUAGGUCAGGACAUAGGGGAGGACUUCCUGGGAGCAACAGUGAAACUGGGCCUCGAUGAAUUUCCAGAACGUGGACUGACAAACCACAGCCCAAGGAGACGGGCAUCUGAAGAGACUUUUUGAAAAAGCCAGAAAUGUCAAACCUUUGUUCUCUUCUCUAGAUCAGACAAGCCUGGGACUAUUUUGUAUUGGUUGUGUGACCUUGAAGUCAUGAUAACUCUUCUGCUGACCUUAAUUCCCACAUCUGUAAAAUGGGAUCAUUUUGUAAUUCUCCCAUGGUGGGCAUGCCUUGUGCCGUCAUUUAUUUUUUAAAGAAUAAUUCCAAUGCUUCUGGCAUGGGGGACAGUACUGGAUGUGCCAUAAUCUGGGAAAGGACCUCUGUGAGAAGGAACAGCAAGAACUUAGCGCAUGCUGCGUCUGAGGUUCUCCAAGCGUGAGCACCGACUAGGUGUAUGUGUGCCCGGUGUAUCUCACUCACUUGCUCAGUGUACACAUGUGGUCACAUCUUUGUUUUUCGAAUUAACUGCUCAAGCCCCCAUCUGCCCUUUUGUGUGUGUGAGUCUUUUUGCCUUUUCUAGGGCCACUCCCGCAGCAUACAGAGGUUCCCAGGAUAGGGGUCCAAUCAGAGCUGCCCAGAGCCACAGCAACAUGGGAUCCAAGCUCACAGCAACGCCAUACCUACUGAGGAAGGUCAGGGAUCGAACCCAUAACCUCAUGGUUCUUAGUCGGAUUCGUUAACCACUGAGCCACAAAGGGAACGCUUCCCACCUUCCCUUCUUAACAGGCUGGUAAGAGACCUGUUUCCUUCCCAGCCAGCCAAGAACUGGGAAGCCUCCAGGGCCGGGAGUGUUAAUGUUGUCACUCCACUGUUGUAAUGACUCACCACUGUCAGAAGGUGGCACUGUUCAACACUACUCCAGCCGCAGCUCCAAGAGGCCAACCCUCUCGUUUCCCUAAACAGAACUGCGCUGCUACUGGGAACCCGUCGUCCCCUCCCUCAGUGGAUGCUUGUCCACCAGACUCCAGGGGCACGCUGUCCUUUAAGGCUUUUGCCAUUUCCACCAGCUCUGGCACCAAGGACACGAUCAUGGGGUCCAUCUGCUGGGUGUCUCUGCCUUCAGAGGGGGUUGGGGAGGGUGGUGUGUCGAGGGCCCUUCUCUCCCCCAGCAGGGCUGGAUUCCUCCGUAAAUUGGCUCCUGCUCCCUCUCAGAUCCUCGGCUUAUCCAGGGAGAGGCAGCUUUGCUUAAGACCUUCUUUUCCCAGGAGGUGGCUGAGCCUGAGUCCAGAGACCCUGCCCAGAACCAAGAUCAGUGCCAAAUCGUCUCGCUUAGGAACUGGAUUUCUGUCUUGCUAGACUGCUGCCCCCUGGAAAGGUUUGGGAGCCUCUGCGUGUGGGUGAUAGUGAGGUCACAGCGGGGCUGGGGUGUUGGGCAUUAGGAGAGUCAUGGGUCAAAGAGGGGGCCCUGAGUCCCACCAAGGCUGGGGAGGGGGAGGGGCAGGCAGGGGACAGCACCUGGCCAGAGUCUGAGCCGUCAGCCUGGUGGGAGGGGCACAGGUCACCCUUCUGUGCUGGGAGGAGGGUGAAGGUGGCGGGGGUGGGGGACAGGGUUUCAAGGAGAGGGACCAAGAGGGCAGAGAAGAGGCCUAAAAGGGUCCCCUGGGUUGGGCAAUUCUAAAGUCAUGCAUGGGGUCCAUUCAAACACUAGGAUCCCCCCAGUUAGGAGGGGGUCACGGGAGCCCAGGAGAGGUUGCCGUGGGACUAGGAGCAGGGAAAUGGGCCUCAGUAUGUGUACCUGACCCAAGGAGCAGACGUAAAGAGAAGCAAGAGUUGGGGGCCAGGAGGCAGGUCCAGAGAAGGCGUUGCUAUUUACAGGAGUACCUGUGAAGACGGGGUAAUUGACUUGAGGGUGGAGACAGGGAAGGAACAGGUAGGGUAGGUUGGCCCCCAUCUUGCCUCAUCAUGUGAUACCAGCUUAAGGAACCUGCAUGAAGCCAGCGGGAAGCCCUGGAGCUGGUGGAGCAGGGACUGUGCUUGGGGAAAAGAGCACCUGGCAGCUUGUUUAUUUCACAUGUGUGGCGGUGGGGAUCUGGGUGUGCUGGAAUGUUUUGAGUCCACUUACCAAAUGAAGACCAGUGAUUUCAUUCAGAUAAACAUUUCUCAAGACUGUCUUCUCCACAACAAGCUGAGUUACGUUACUGUGUGGAUGAAGAAGGGCCGGAAUGCCUUGGACAAAUGUAUUCAUUAACUUGGCCUUGUAGAUAAAGGUGCCUGUUUCUUUUGGGGAAUCAAAAUGUUCUGAUUGGAUUAGAUAGGGUGAUGAUGGCACAAACUUG